AUCCAGCCGAUGAGCCCCAAAUAGGAGGAAAUGCACGUCCUAGAU
rnacentral:hammerhead_ribozyme from 1 species